UAGUUUGAGAUCAGAUACAACUCCGAGAAGCCAGCCAGCCGUUCCAUCUCCACCUGCAACAAUAAUUUUCAUUCUCUCUUCAAUUUCGGCAGCAAAGUGAUCACCAUUACCCUUGAGCCUUUCUAUAUUCAAAUACAGUCUACGUAAAACACUAUCAGGAGCUUCAUCUCCCAAAUCAAAAACCUGAUAUUUGUUAAGAAGAUGGCGAAAUGUACGAAGAAGUUCUCCUCCAAGUUGACCUCCACUUUUAGAG
rnacentral:misc_RNA from 1 species